AUGGCCACCAGGCUCUUCUUCUGUGUGGCUCUUUGUCUCCUGCAGGCAGAGUUUACAGAUGCUGGAGUCAUCCCGACACCCAGGCACAAGGUGACAAAGACAGGACAAGAAGUAACCCUGAGAUGCAAGCCUAUUUCUGGUCACACAGCCCUUUUCUGGUACAGUCAGCCCUCAGGGCAGGGACCGGAGCUGCUGAUCUACUUCAACAAUCAAGCCCCUAUCGAUGACUCGGGGACGCCCAAGAAACGGUUCUCAGCAGAGAUGCCUGACAAAUCCUUCUCCACGCUGACGAUCAAGCCCACAGAACCCAAGGACUCAGCCACGUACCUGUGUCAGCAGUCGGGCAACCACAGCAACCGGGCACAGCACUUUGGAGAUGGCACUCAACUCUCUGUCCUAGAGAACCUGGAAAAGGUCAAACCUCCCACGGUCACAGUGUUUGAACCAUCAGAAGCAGAGAUCUCCCGCACCCAGAAGGCCACACUCGUGUGCCUGGCCACGGGCUUCUACCCCGACCACGUGGAGCUGAGCUGGUGGGUGAACGGCAAGGAGGUCCAGAAUGGGGUCAGCACAGACCCGCAGCCCUACAAGGAGCGGCCCAACGAGAAUGACUCCAGCUACUGUCUGAGCAGCCGGCUGAGGGUGUCCUCUGCCUUCUGGCACAACCCUCGCAACUACUUCCGCUGCCAAGUCCAGUUCCACGGGCUCAGGGACGAUGAUGAGUGGGACAACGCCAGCCGGGCCAAACCCAUCACCCAGAACAUCAGUGACGAGAUCCAGGGCAGAGCAGACUGUGGCUUCACUUCGGUGUCCUAUCAGCAGGGCAUCCUGUCUGCCACCAUCCUCUAUGAGAUCCUGCUGGGGAAGGCCACCCUGUAUGCCGUGCUGGUCAGCGCCCUGGUGCUGAUGGCCAAGGUCAAGAGAAAGGGUUCCUGAAACUAGCUCAGAGGCAGAGCCAGGACUUUCCAGCUUCUAUUGCCCCAGUAUGGAUUCUCCUUUCUCCACUUCCAGCCAGUGCUUCUCAAGAGCUGUUUUCAUCUCUCUGCUCACCCCAAUAGCUACCCCCUAUGUUCGUGCACACCUGGACGCUCAUGACCCAAAUCUCCCUAACCCAGGGGGGACCCUAGCCUGACUAAAUUGACUGAAUCAAUAAAAAUGGCCUGUUCUGGCUUGACUCUG